rfam:Kaistia soli DSM 19436 genome assembly, contig: EJ62DRAFT_scaffold00007.7
CCGCGGGACACGCCUCCCCAACGAGGCGCUGCUAUCUGAGAGGGUAGAUCAU